CCUACGGGACGCAGCAGUGAGGAAUAUUGGUCAAUGGGCGAGAGCCUGAACCAGCCAAGUCGCGUGAAGGAUGACGGCCCUACGGGUUGUAAACCUCUUUUGUCAGGGAGCAAAGUCACCCACGUGUGGGUGUUGGAGAGUACCUGAAGAAAAAGCAUCGGCUAACUCCGUGCCAGCAGCCGCGGUAAUACGGAGGAUGCGAGCGUUAUCCGGAUUUAUUGGGUUUAAAGGGUGCGUAGGCGGGUUAUCAAGUCAGCGGUAAAAUCGUGGAGCUCAACUCCAUCCAGCCGUUGAAACUGAUGAUC
rnacentral:rRNA from 1 species